CCUACGGGGGGCAGCAGUGAGGAAUAUUGGUCAAUGGACGAGAGUCUGAACCAGCCAAGUAGCGUGAAGGAUGACUGCCCUAUGGGUUGUAAACUUCUUUUAUAUGGGAAUAAAAUGUUCCACGUGUGGGAUUUUGUAUGUACCAUAUGAAUAAGGAUCGGCUAACUCCGUGCCAGCAGCCGCGGUAAUACGGAGGAUCCGAGCGUUAUCCGGAUUUAUUGGGUUUAAGGGGAGCGUAGGUGGAUUGUUAAGUCAGUUGUGAAAGUUUGCGGCUCAACCGUAAAAUUGCAGUUGAAACUGGCAGUCUUGAGUACAGUAGAGGUGGGCGGAAUUCGUGGUGUAGCGGUGAAAUGCUUAGAUAUCACGAAGAACUCCGAUUGCGAAGGCAGUUCACUGGACUGCAACUGACACUGAGGCUUGAAAGUGUGGGUAUCAAACAGGAUUAGAUACCCCAGUAGUC
rnacentral:rRNA from 1 species